rnacentral:lncRNA from 1 species
AUGUACCCAGGGGGCCUUAGAUGCACCAAGGCAUACAAGUAUGGGGUCAGAGUUGUCCACUCUCAAGAUGAGGAGGAGAGCCGUGAUUCAGAUAAUGCUGCAGAUUAUUUCCUUAUGACUGAUCCCAAGGAAAACCACAAAGUCAAAAGCGUGGACAUUUUUCAGUGUUUUGUUUGUUUUAUUUUAUUUUUGGCCAAAUUGUAUUUCAUGUUGCAGUUUAUUUUCUCAAAAUGAAAACAGCAUUUCCCUUCCUAAUUAUUUUUUUAAAACUACUUAAUGCAAAUGAUUUACACAAAAAAGAGA